GAUGAACGCUAGCGGGAGGCCUAACACAUGCAAGCCGAGCGGGAGAGAUUCUUCGGAAUCUUGAGAGCGGCGUACGGGUGCGGAACACGUGUGCAACCUGCCUUUAUCAGGGGGAUAGCCUUUCGAAAGGAAGAUUAAUACCCCAUAAUAUAUUUUAUGGCAUCAUUAGAUAGCGAAAGCUUUGGCGGAUAGAGAUGGGCACGCGCGAGUUUGGAUUGUUCGUGAGGUAACGGCUCACCAAGGCGAUGAUCUGAAGGGGGCCUGAGCGGUUGAUCCCCCGCACUGGUACUGGGACACGGACCCGACUCCUGCGAGACGCAGCAGUGAGGAAUAUUGGGCAGUGGGUUAGCGCCUGAUCCAGCCAUCCCGCGUGAAGGACGACGGCCCUAUGGGUUGUAAGCUUCUUUUGUACAGGGAUAACCCUACUCUCGUGAGAGUAGCUGACGGUACUGUACGAAUAAGCACCGGCUAACUCCGUG
rnacentral:rRNA from 1 species